rnacentral:rRNA from 1 species
UACGGAGACUGCAAGCGUUAUUCGGAUUCACUGGGCGUAAAGGGUGCGCAGGCGGUUAUGUGUGUCAGGUGUGAAAUCUCGGAGCUCAACUCCGAAACUGCGCCUGAAACUACAUGACUAGAGUAUCGGAGAGGUGAGCGGAAUUCAUGGUGUAGCAGUGAAAUGCGUAGAUAUCAUGAGGAACACCAGAGGCGAAGGCG